rnacentral:rRNA from 1 species
AACGAACGCUGGCGGCAUGCCUAACACAUGCAAGUCGAACGAGAUCUUCGGGUCUAGUGGCGCACGGGUGCGUAACGCGUGGGAAUCUGCCCUUUGGUUCGGAAUAACAGUUGGACACGACUGCUAAUACCGGAUGAUGACGAAAGUCCAAAGAUUUAUCGCCAGAGGAUGAGUCCGCGUAGGAGUAGCUAGUUGGUGUGGUAAAGGCGCACCAAGGCGACGAUCCUUAGCUGGUCUGAGAGGAUGAUCAGCCACACUGGGACUGAGACACGGCCCAGACUCCUACGGGAGGCAGCAGUGGGGAAUAUUGGACAAUGGGCGAAAGCCUGAUCCAGCAAUGCCGCGUGAGUGAUGAAGGCCUUAGGGUUGUAAAGCUCUUUUACCCGGGAUGAUAAUGACAGUACCGGGAGAAUAAGCUCCGGCUAACUCCGUGCCAGCCGCCGCCGUAA